UGAGGGUUGAUAGGUUAAGAGCUGAUUGACUGGACGUUCCCACAGAAGAAGCACCGGCUAACUCCGUGCCAGCAGCCGCGGUAAUACGGAGGGUGCGAGCGUUAAUCGGAAUUCUGGGCGUAAAGGGUGCGUAGGUGGUUUAGUAAGUUAUCUGUGAAAUUCUGGGCUCAACCUAGGGUGGUCAGAUAAGACUGCUGGACUUUGAGUAUAGGAGAGGGUAGUGGAAUUUCCGGUGUAGCGGUGAAAUGCGUAGAGAUCGGAAGGAACACCAGUGGCGAAGGCGGCUACCUGGCCUAAUACUGACACUGAGGCACGAAAGCGUGGGGAGCAAACAGGAUUAGAUACCCUGGUAGUCCACGCUGUAAACGAUGUCAACUAGCUGUUGGCCUUAUGAAUGAGGUUAGUGGCGCAGCAAACGCGAUAAGUUGAC
rnacentral:rRNA from 1 species